GAUGAACGCUGGCGGCGUGCCUAAUACAUGCAAGUCGAGCGAACAGACGAGGAGCUUGCUCCUCUGACGUUAGCGGCGGACGGGUGAGUAACACGUGGAUAACCUACCUAUAAGACUGGGAUAACUUCGGGAAACCGGAGCUAAUACCGGAUAAUAUAUUGACCCGCAUGGUUCAAUAGUUAAAGACGGUUUUGCUGUCACUUAUAGCUGGAUCCGCGCCGCAUUAGCUAGUUGGUAAGGUAACGGCUUACCAAGGCAACGAUGCGUAGCCGACCUGAGAGGGUGAUCGGCCACACGGGAACUGAGACACGGUCCAGACUCCUACGGGAGGCAGCAGUAGGGAAUCUUCCGCAAUGGGCGAAAGCCUGACAGAGCAACGCCGCGUGAGUGAUGAAGGUCUUCGGAUCGUAAAACUCUGUUAUUAGGGAAGAACAAAUGUGGAAGUAACCAUGCACGUCUUGACGGUACCGAAUCAAAAAGCCACGGCUAACUACGUG
rnacentral:rRNA from 1 species